rnacentral:rRNA from 1 species
AUGGUGGAGAACCGCAGCACCAUCGCCUUCUUCGGGACCUUCAGGCCAGCGGUGGCGCUGGACCUCUUCUCAUGCCCAGUGAACCCGACGACAACGUCUGCGCCGGACGAGCAGCGCCUCACCGACGGUAAGUCGUACAACCAGAACGGCCAGGCCAUCACGCCGGCGGCUCUCAAGGAGCUCCUGGCCAAGAACAGCCCCGCGCUGGCCGGCGUUGCCACUCCGGAUGACGUGGACAAGGGCCGUGUCACCGGCAUCGUCUUUGUCUCCGAGAGGGACAACGGCCUGGAGACGCUCCAUGUGGCCCUGCGCGCCGCAGGCAAGACCACGGUGGUGUCGCUGGCCGACAUCUACGGCACCGACACCUUCGGCGGGGUCCGAAUGGAGGACAGCGGCUGCUUGGCCGGUGGCUUCCAGGUGGGCGGUCGCACCGUCGGGCACUCGCUGGUGUACGUGUCCACCAAGGAGCCGGCGGCAGCACGGCGCACUCCGUGGACCGUGGUGUACAAGACCAACCUUGCCGAUGGCAGGACGGAGCGCCUCACUCCGCCGGAUCAAUACGACCUGAACCCGGCCGUGUCGCCGUCCGGGAAGAGGGUGGCGGUGGCCAAUUUCCGGUUCAACCAGUGGACCGGCGAGAUCGGCCGCCUCAAGACCGAUAUCGUGGUGAUGAACGUGGACCGGCAGGCGCAGGGUGGGCUUGGGCGCAGCGUCCUCAUCAAGGACGGCGGGUGGCCGACGUGGGGCAGCGACACUGUCAUCUUCUUCCACCGAGGGGUGGAUAGCAUAGACACAGUCAGUGGGAGGACCAAUACUGACUGGGGUGUGUACCGGUACGACCUCACCGCCAAGCAGGACAAGAACAACCCCUUCAAGGUGACCCCUGACGGCAUCCAAGCCAUGACUCCGGCGGCCAUCAGCGAGACCAAGGUGGCGGCGGCCGUCACCCGGGAGGGCACCCGGAUAGCUAUAGCGGUCGUGGAUCGCGAUAAAAAGGAACAGUACCGUCACAUCGAGAUCUAUGAGGUCGGCAAGCCUGCCAGCCCGGUGAUAAUCACCCAUAGGACGGACCACUACAGCCCGUUCGUGCUCGACGGCGGCAGCCGUAUCGGUUUCCACCGCCAGCUAACCAAGAAGGAGAAUACUACCGCUCAGAAGAACUUCAGCAAGCUGCAGAGCCCGGCGACGCACAAGGACGUCGGGAUCUACCGGAUGGCCGGCGUGUUCCCAAGCAUCCACAUGGCGGGCACCAAGAUCACCUACGUGGACAACGAGUUCAAAACCGUGUGGGUCGCCGACGAUGGACACGAGCCGCAAGAAGCCCAUACGGACAGGAGCAACAACAACAUCUUGUCCACAACGUGGAACCAAGGCAAGGACAUCGUCUACUUCUGCGUGGGCACGGCCUUCGGCACCGGCCCAAUACAGAUCUAUGCUCUCGAAGACGCCUCCAAUCCCUCACACAAUGAACGGACCAUGAGGCGCCUCACCAAGGGCAAUUUCAACAACGCCUUCCCCUCGAGCAACCGGGAUGGGAGCAAGUUCGUGUUCCGGUCGACGCGCGACAGAUCCGGUAAGCUGGAGGACGCCAAGUACAAGAACCUCUACAUCAUGGAGGACGCGGUAUACGGGGAGUGGAGUGAAGAUGAAGAAGGCACGGCAGUGAGGCAGCUCACUAACGGGCCCUGGAUCGACAGUCACUGCACCUGGUCGCCCACUGAUGAUUGGAUCGUCUUCUCCUCCUCCCGCGACAGGGCGGCUGGCGCGCCAGAGAGGGACAUCCUCGACGCCGGCUGCUUCUCCAUCUUUCUCGUCAAAGCCACCGACCCCAGUGUGUUGGUGCGGGUCAUGCACAGCGCCGACUCCCUGGCCGGCCAUGUCUGCCACCCCGUCUUCAGCCCCUUCAAGGACAGCAUCGUCAUCACCUCCGACGUCGCCGGCGUCUCGGCCGACCCGGUCUCUCUGCCCAUCUUCAUCCACUCCGUCAGGCCCUACGGCGACAUCUUCACCAUCAAACUCCGAGACAAGAAGGACAUCAUGAAGAACAAGGACAUCAUGGAGUUCGACCGCAUCACACACACCCGCUACGAGUACUCCACGCCCACCUGGACGACCUAUUUGGGUGACGACCCCAACAACAAGUGGAAAACGGCCGGUAGCGGUGCAGCGGAGUGCCCCGCCGGGAGGUGCUAG